rnacentral:rRNA from 1 species
GAUCCUGGCUUAGGAUGAACGCUAGCUACAGGCUUAACACAUGCAAGUCGAGGGCAGCAUUAUCGAAGCUUGCUUGAUAGAUGGCGACCGGCGCACGGGUGAGUAACGCGUAUCCAACCUUCCCUAUAGUAGAGAAUAGCCCGGCGAAAGUCGGAUUAAUGCUCUAUGUUGUAUUUAGAAGACAUCUGAAGAAUACCAAAGGUUUACCGCUAUAGGAUGGGGGAUGCGUCUGAUUAGGUAGUCGGCGGGGUAACGGCCCACCGAGCCAUCGAUCAGUAGGGGUUCUGAGAGGAAGGUCCCCCACAUUGGAACUGAGACACGGUCCAAACUCCUACGGGAGGCAGCAGUGAGGAAUAUUGGUCAAUGGACGAGAGUCUGAACCAGCCAAGUAGCCGCGCAGGAUGACGGCCCUAUGGGUUGUAAACUGCUUUUAUACAGGGAUAAAGUGGGGAACGUGUUCCCUUUUGUAGGUACUGUAUGAAUAAGGACCGGCUAAUUCCGUGCCAGCAGCCGC